rnacentral:rRNA from 1 species
UACGUAGGGUGCAAGCGUUGUCCGGAAUUAUUGGGCGUAAAGAGCUCGUAGGCGGUUCGGCAAGUCGGAUGUGAAAUCUCCACGCUUAACGUGGAGGGGCCAUUCGAAACUGCCGUGACUCGAGUCCGGUAGGGGAGUGUGGAAUUCCUGGUGUAGCGGUGAAAUGCGUAGAUAUCAGGAGGAACACCUGCGGUGUAGACGGCUUACUGGACCAUAACUGACGCUGAGGCACGAAAGCGUGGGUAGCAAACAGG